UACGUAGGGGGCUAGCGUUGUCCGGAUUUAUUGGGCGUAAAGAGCGUGUAGGCGGCCAGGUAGGUCUGCUGUGAAAACUCGAGCUCAACCUCGAGACGCCGGUGGAAACCAUCUAGCUAGAGUCCGGAAGAGGAGAGUGGAAUUCCUGGUGUAGCGGUGAAAUGCGCAGAUAUCAGGAAGAACACCCGUGGCGAAGGCGGCUCUCUGGUACGUGACUGACGCUGAGACGCGAAAGCGUGGGGAGCGAACAGG
rnacentral:rRNA from 1 species